rnacentral:rRNA from 1 species
UACGGGGGGGGCAAGCGUUGUUCGGAAUCAUUGGGCGUAAAGGGCGCGUAGGCGGCGCGGUAAGUCUUCUGUGAAACCCCUGGGCUCAACUCAGGGCCUGCAGGGGAAACUGCCGUGCUGGAGUGUGGGAGAGGUGCGUGGAAUUCCCGGUGUAGCGGUGAAAUGCGUAGAGAUCGGGAGGAACACCUGCGGCGAAGGCGGCGCACUGGACCACAACUGACGCUGAGAGCGCGAAAGCUAGGGGAGCAAACAGG